GAAAAUACAUUUAUUUGGGUCCAAUAUUUAGGUCUACUUUCUCAAUAAAUCACCCCACACAUCUAGUUAUUUCCCUGUUUUCCUCACGUGCCAACUAUACUUAUUUUCUUUCCAAAAGAACGCAGCGACUCAGUUUUACGCGCCCCUCUUUUCCACUCUUCCUCUUCUUCUUCAACAACAAACAACAACCCCCAAACCCGCACAACUCCAACAAGAAUGAUCACUAAUUCCCAAUUUCAUCAUUCGUUUUCCUCUUUUCUCCUCUAAAUCGUAUUCUCCGCAUGCGUAGCACGAGCCGAAAGACACUUCAAGCUUCAAGCAAUGCAUUUAUCAACGGAACUAUCCUUCCAAUUGCGAUUUUCUUUUCCAGUUUCGUUAUAAAUUUGUACUGUUCGUAUGUUUCCAGCUCACUAGAGCCUUAUCCCUAAAGAAAUUUUUUAAAAAAAUUGAUCCUCUCACGUCGAAAAUACACUCAGAAUAUGGAGAUUUUGGGUGCUAUGGAAGUCCUUCUCCUCACUAUUCAAGGACGGACUUUGACAUUUGAGAGUUCCCCUAAAAAGGUUUUGGAAUUCUUUUCUUAGCAGUUUAAAAGUUUGAAACUUUUAAGUUUGUUCGAUUUGAAGAGGUGGAAUCAACUCCGUCCAAACUUGUUGUCCGGUUCGCUUACCAAAACAAGGUGAAUUCAAAGAUGGCUACAAUUGAAAAAAUCGUGGAAGUCAAGAUGGGAGACCUUAACAAGUCAAUUCUGUUCAAUGGUAACCAUUUUAAGAGAUGGAAGGAACUUACUCUAGUGCAAAGAAAAUUUGGAAAGCAUUGCAUAGUAAGUAUGAUACCGAAGAGGCGGGAGCGAAAAAAAUGCGGCUAGUAGAUCUUUUUUCAUUUCCAAAUGGUGGACAAUAAAUCAGUGGUAGAGCAAGCUCAAGACUUUAUCAUGAUUGUUGGAGAGCUUAGGUCCGAAGAGGUUAAAAUUGAGGAUAACCUUAUUUUUUGUGGCAUAGUAGAUAAACUUUAACCUUCUUGGAAGAAAUUUCAAAAAACUAUGUGCCCCAAACAAACGAAAA